rnacentral:rRNA from 1 species
AUUGAACGCUGGCGGCAUGCUUUACACAUGCAAGUCGAACGGCAGCGGGGGCUUCGGCCUGCCGGCGAGUGGCGAACGGGUGAGUAAUGCAUCGGAACGUGCCCAUGUCGUGGGGGAUAACGUAUCGAAAGGUACGUUAAUACCGCAUACGUCCUGAGGGAGAAAGCGGGGGAUUCUUCGGAACCUCGCGCGAUUGGAGCGGCCGAUGUCGGAUUAGCUAGUAGGUGAGGUAAAGGCUCACCUAGGCGACGAUCCGUAGCGGGUCUGAGAGGAUGAUCCGCCACACUGGGACUGAGACACGGCCCAGACUCCUACGGGAGGCAGCAGUGGGGAAUUUUGGACAAUGGGCGCAAGCCCGAUCCAGCCAUGCCGCGUGAGUGAAGAAGGCCUUCGGGUUGUAAAGCUCUUUCGGCCGGGAAGAAAUCGUGUUCUCUAACAUAGGACAUGGAUGACGGUACCGGACUAAGAAGCACCGGCUAACUACGUGCCAGCAGCCGCCGUAACAC